rnacentral:rRNA from 1 species
UAGGGAAUCUUCGGCAAUGGACGAAAGUCUGACCGAGCAACGCCGCGUGAGUGAAGAAGGUUUUCGGAUCGUAAAACUCUGUUGUUAGAGAAGAACAAGGACGUUAGUAACUGAACGUCCCCUGACGGUAUCUAACCAGAAAGCCACGGCUAACUACGUGCCAGCAGCCGCGGUAAUACGUAGGUGGCAAGCGUUGUCCGGAUUUAUUGGGCGUAAAGCGAGCGCAGGCGGUUUCUUAAGUCUGAUGUGAAAGCCCCCGGCUCAACCGGGAGGGGUCAUUGGAAACUGGGAGACUUGAGUGCAGAAGAGGAGAGUGGAAUUCCAUGUGUAGCGGUGAAAUGCGUAGAUAUAUGGAGGAACACCAGUGGCGAAGGCGGCUCUCUGGUCUGUAACUGACGCUGAGGCUCGAAAGCGUGGGGAGCAAACAGG